ACAUGCAAGUCAAGGGGGUAGCAAUACAACCGGCGCACGGGUGAGUAACGCGUACACAACAUACCAUAUACUGGAGUAUAGCUUUGGGAAACUGAAGGUAAUCCUCCAUAACAUUGCGAGAGGGCAUCUGAUUGCAAUUAAAGUUUCGGCGGUAUAUGAUUGGUGUGCGUUUGAUUAGCUAGUUGGUAGGGUAACGGCCUACCAAGGCGACGAUCAAUAGCUGGCGUGAGAGCGCGACCAGCCACACUGGAACUGAGACACGGUCCAGACUCCUACGGGAGGCAGCAGUAGGGAAUAUUGGACAAUGGAGGAAACUCUGAUCCAGCCAUGCCGCGUGAUAGAUGAAGGCCCUCUGGGUUGUAAAUAUCUUUUAUCUGGGAAGAAACACUCCUAUUCUUAGGAACUUGACGGUACCAGAGGAAUAAGCACCGGCUAACUCCGUG
rnacentral:rRNA from 1 species